GCAAUUCUUAGAAAAAAUUUUCUAGUUACUUGGAGAAAAAACAGUUUGUGGACCAGUUAGCUCAACUCUCCUCUUUUCCAACUGAACCCCUUCUAUUUUCUGUUGGUGCUUUCAAUUAUCACUACCUCCAGAGAGACCAGUGUAUGAGUUUAUUUUGUAAAGAAAAUUGCAAGGUAUCAGACACCACACAAUUUAUAUGCAAUGGCUUUCUAAGAAACCCAGAAUAUCAGUUUGCCAGGACAAAUUUUAGCCUGUUUCUCAAGGCAUGAAUGUCUGGAGAAGGUUCAGAUUUUUGUAGAAGCUGUGAGCACUGUGAUAGCUCGGGCUGGAGCAAGAUAUUUGCAGAAGGAACUAAGCUCAUAGUAAUUCCCUCUGACAAAAGCUUUGGUACAGACAUUUCCCCCAAGCCCACCAUUUUUCUUCCUUCUGCUGCUGAAACAAAUCUCCAUAAGGCUGGGACAUAUCUGUGUCUCCUUGAGAAGUUCUUUCCUGAUGUCAUAAGGGUGUAUUGGAAAGAAAAGAAUGGUGAUACUAUCCUGGACUCUCAGGAAGGGGAUACGCUGAAGACCAAGGACACAUACAUGAAGUUUAGCUGGCUUACUGUGCCUGAAAGGUCAAUGGGAAAAGAGCACAGAUGUAUUGUCAAACAUGAGAACAACAAAGGAGGAGUGGAUCAAGAGAUUUUCUUUCCUUCAAUAAAGAAAGUUGCUGUGAGUAACAAGCCUACAAAUUGCUGGCAAGAUAACAAUGAUGUGCUGCAGCUCCAGUUCACAAGCACCUCUGCCUACUACACCUACCUCCUCCUGCUCCUCAAGAGUGUGAUCUACUUGGCCUUCAUCAGCUUCCUUCUGCUUAGAAGAGCAGCUGUCUGCGGCAAUAAGAAGAGGUCCUAAGGAGAUGAGUGGUACAGCAAGUCUGCUGGGUUUAAUCCUUGCUGUCAUAAAGCUGCCUUGUGGGGGUCCAGUUGCCUUUUCUUGUUGGCUUUGACUUCUGUAAAGUCACGUACAUGUGUGGCAUAAAAAUUUUUUAACUUUUGUAAGCACUUUCAGCAGCUUCUCUCUAACUGAGCUCGCCUUCUUCCCGAUUCCAACCUCUCCAGCAGUCCCCUGCCCCAGAAGCCUGAAGCAUCAAAGCUCUAGUGCCCAUAGCCUACAGCUUUCACCCAUGGCCCUUGCUGCUCUUGAACCAACUCCGUCCCUGAAAGUCUCCACCCUAGACAACCUGGACAGCCUUCUUAACUCUUGUGCCUUGUAUUUCAUAUUAGAGGCAAUAAACUUCUUAAAAAUUAGAA